AUAUUUUUUAAUAAAAAUUUAGGGUAAUAAUCUGUAAUGUACCCUUCAUAAAAUAAAAAAAAUCCGAUCCCCAAAUUCCUUUAUUUUCCCUGUCAAAAAAAUUUCCGAAAAUCACCUUUUUUUUUCGACCGUCACAGUGGUGUUUCCCCUUAAUAGUGUAUGUAUGUAU